AAUUACAAAAACCUGGAGCUUGUCCCAAGGCACCCCUACAUGAUGUUGGAACUUGCAAUGAGAGAUGCUCAGGAGAUGACUCAUGCCCUGAUAAAAUGAAGUGCUGCAGGAAAGGGUGUGGUCAUGUCUGCACGAGGCCUGUCUUUAAAACAGCUGACAGCCCUGUGAAAGAUGGAUCCGAUACUUAUAAGCAUGACUGAUGACCAGUCCCAGAGGAUUUCUUCUGAAUCUACGGAGCCCAAGCUUGACUACUCCCUAACCCUAGAAUUGCAUCCUUGGAAGAUGAAAAUCUAUAAUGUGGUGAUGGCUUCCUAGUGUCUCUGUGUCCAAAAUAAACGAUCCUUAGCAUUCUCUUA